rnacentral:misc_RNA from 1 species
AACGCACGAGACCUGCGGACCUGCGGAAGGAUCAUUAAUGAGAAGCUGCCCCUCGUGGGUAGACCUCCCACCCUCUGUGAACUUACCUUUGUUGCUUUGGCAGGCCCAUCCUCUGGACCGCCGGCUUCGGCUGGCCCGUGCCUGCCAGAGGAUUCCAAACCCUGUCUGUCAGUGUUGUCUGAGUCUAUAUGAAAUCGUUAAAACUUUCAGCAACGGAUCUCUAGAUCGGAAGAGCACACG